rnacentral:rRNA from 1 species
CCCCGCGGCUAGACGGAAAGACCCCAUGAACCUUUACUGUAGCUUUGCAUUGGAUUGUGAACCGGCCUGUGUAGGAUAGGUGGGAGACGUUGAAGCGUGGUCGCCAGAUCGCGUGGAGUCAUCCUUGAAAUACCACCCUGGUCUGUUUGCGGUUCUAACCUAGGUCCCUUACCGGGAUCGGGGACCGUGCAUGGUGGGCAGUUUGACUGGGGCGGUCUCCUCCUAAAGUGUAACGGAGGAGUUCGAAGGUACGCUAGAGACGGUCGGAAAUCGUCUUGAUAGUGCAAUGGCAUAAGCGUGCUUGACUGUGAGACUGACAAGUCGAACAGGUACGAAAGUAGGACAUAGUGAUCCGGUGGUUCUGUAUGGAAGGGCCAUCGCUCAACGGAUAAAAGGUACUCUGGGGAUAACAGGCUGAUACCGCCCAAGAGUUCAUAUCGACGGCGGUGUUUGGCACCUCGAUGUCGGCUCAUCUCAUCCUGGGGCUGUAGCCGGUCCCAAGGGUAUGGCUGUUCGCCAUUUAAAGAGGUACGUGAGCUGGGUUUAAAACGUCGUGAGACAGUUUGGUCCCUAUCUGCCGUGGGCGUUGGAUACUUGACGGAGCCUGCUCCUAGUACGAGAGGACCGGAGUGGACGUACCACUGGUGUAUCGGUUGUCAUGCCAAUGGCAUUGCCGAGUAGCUACGUACGGAAGAGAUAACCGCUGAAGGCAUCUAAGCGGGAAACUCGUCUGAAGAUUAGGUAUCCCGGGGGCUUGACCCCCCUGUAGGGUCGUCCGAGACCAGGACGUUGAUAGGCUGGGUGUGGAAGUGCAGUAAUGCAUGUAGCUAACCAGUACUAAUUGCCCGUGUGGCUUGAUCCUAUAACCCUUGAGGUUGUA